GGCCCGCACAAGCGGUGGAGCAUGUGGUUUAAUUCGAAGCAACGCGAAGAACCUUACCAGGUCUUGACAUCCCAGUGACCGCUCUAGAGAUAGAGUUUUUCUUCGGAACACUGGUGACAGGUGGUGCAUGGUUGUCGUCAGCUCGUGUCGUGAGAUGUUGGGUUAAGUCCCGCAACGAGCGCAACCCUUAUUGUUAGUUGCCAUCAUUCAGUUGGGCACUCUAGCGAGACUGCCGGUAAUAAACCGGAGGAAGGUGGGGAUGGCGUCAAAUCAUCAUGCCCCUUAUGACCUGGGCUACACACGUGCUACAAUGGUUGGUACAACGAGUCGCAAGUCGGUGACGGCAAGCAAAUCUCUUAAAGCCAAUCUCAGUUCGGAUUGUAGGCUGCAACUCGCCUACAUGAAGUCGGAAUCGCUAGUAAUCGCGGAUCAGCACGCCGCGGUGAAUACGUUCCCGGGC
rnacentral:rRNA from 1 species